UGAAAGCGAUGCGGCGCACUGCCGCCUCUCACAAGGAGGUGUGCGUGCGAUCUGUACCCGCUGCUGGGCUGAUCCCUUAAUGGACGCUGGGUUCUGCGGGCUCGUGCUGCCUCGCCGCUGUCCCGUGUCCCCAUUGAAGUGGCCCAACCCUUAAAGUGGUGGUCGAAGAUGGGCGUGAGGACGCGGCCGUGGUGCACAGGUAUAAGCCCGUGUCGAGCCUGGCGACCGUACUCCCUUAACUGUGGAGGGGGCGCAAGCCCGGGACUCGUCCGAUGUGACGGCUCUGUGGGGGGGGGCCUCUUCUGGGGCCUUCGCGCUGGGGCUGUCACGGACGAGUACCUUGAGCACACCUGUUAGUACCCGAGAGAUGGUGAACUAGACAUGGUCAGGGCGAAGCCAGAUUAAAACCUGUGUGGAGGCCCGCCUCUGUUCUGACGUGCAAAUCGAUAGUCAGAGCUGUGCUUAGGGGCGAAAGACCAAUCGAACCAUCUAUUUGCUGGUUCCCCCCGAAAUGUCCCACAGGACAGCUGGAGCUCGUUGAGGAGUCUCAUCCUGUAAAGAGAAUGAUUGGAGGUCUUGGGGGCGUAAUGCCCUCAACCUACUCUCAAACUUUAAAUGGGUGAGAAGCCGUGCUUGCUUGAGAGAGUGAAGCAUCGGCG
rnacentral:rRNA from 1 species